UUGCUGAGAAUGGAAGGUAGACAUCUUGAAGAGCAUUAUUGGGAGUAGGAAACAUUAUUAUACUUCACACACACACACACACACACACACACACACACAAACACACCAUUCAUAGGUUUUGCUUCUCUAAGCAUCAAACCUUGGCUGAAGUUUAGGAAUGAAACUGCAAAAGUGGCAGAGUCUGAAGUGGGUGUGGACAAGGAUCUCAGGGAGACACCUAGCUUGAAUGUUUGGUAUCCCAAACAUUGAAUCACCCCUGGGGACUGACAUUAAUGAAUUAUGACAUACUAAUAAAGACACUAGAAUGCAGAUUCUUCCUUUGCAGUGGAGAGCUUAUACAUUGAGACUGUGAUCAGGGAUCCAGAUAUUCUCUUGCUGAAAAAAAGUAACUUAGAUUAAAGAUAUUAACUUUAGAUGAAAUCAGAGUUAGGAAGAUGAAGGAUCUCAAGCAUACUUCCUCUUGUCUAGGACAGGAGACAUGAGCCUGGGUGAUACCUUGCAAGAUUCUUACAGUCUGCAAAGAAAGAUGUUUCUGACAUUGGCUCACGGACACACUCUGACACAUACUCUGAGAAGUGUGCCAUCGUAGCAUGUUUGGUGAAGGCCACCCUGGUAGGUUCAAUGUGGUCACUAACCAUCUCCUUAUCUAGAGGAUAAAAUUCUGAGGAGUAUAUUUGUGGAGUGCUGAGUGGUCACCUGAGGGCGCCUGAACCCCAGCUCCAGCUUCACCAACUGUCCUGGUCGCCUGUGCUCACGGUUGGUGAUUCUCUCCUUGUGGAUUUUGCUCAGGCCGUUGUGGUUGGAGACACACAUCCCCUUCCUUUUUCUGAGCAAGGGUCCCUCAACCAUGGGACCCCUGAUGUUCUGGACCAGAGGAUUCCCUGGAAAGGAUAUCUGCCCCAUGCACUGAAGGGUCUUCUGUGGCAUCCAUGGAUUCUCUGAUCACCAGGUGCCAGAACCUCUCCUCCUCUUUCAAUAACCAAAAAUGACCGCAGACACUGCUGAGGGUCUCCUGCAGGCAAUUUUCCUCUCUUGAGAACAUUGCUCCAAGUCUUUUUCACUCCUCAAGCCCAAGUAUCACCUAUAUAAUAAAGUCUUUCUUAAUCAUACAUAUGAGCCCAUGAUGACUUUUCCAUUCUGUUUAUAAAAAUGCAAUGGUGCAAACAGUGUGUGU